CCUCCUUUCCCCUGUCCACACCUCUUCAGGAUACAUUGUGUCUCUUUGAAAGCUGCUUACUGCAAGCUGGUGAUGACUGGUGUGAGGUGUAUAAGGCAGUUUCUAAUGAAUCCACCACGCCAGAGGGCCAGGCUGCUUUCUUCUCUGUUGACAAUCCUAAAUCCCCUUUCGAAUUGUAAAAUGUCAUUAAAAUAUGGGAACAUUGAACUCCCUCUCUACAGGUCCAACUGACACCUGGAAUUAAGGUCAGAGAGAUCAUGGGGCCCCUUUGUAUAAAGGUAAAAUGAUUUUUGAAGUGAAAUAAUGGAUUUAAAGCACUGAAGCAGAACACAGCUCCAUGUAAACCCCUAGUGACAUAUUUACAGAACCAGGUCUGGCUGGAAACAAAGUGAAAGAAACAGUAAUUCCAAUUGCAGCUAGCAAAAUAAAAAAAGCAGAUUGGAUGGAAACUGGCCAAGCUCUUACCGUUAAAAAUACCACAGCAUUGCUGCCAAAGGGUAUUGGGACAAAUUGCCAGAGGUAACUGUUACAUAAGCCAGAGCUCACCCUGCCAAUUAGUCAGAAACCAUUGCUACAUCUCUUUUGGCCACAGUUAUUCUGAUAGGUAACUUGCAAGCUGUUUAGCUGUUUAAAGGACUGUACCAGAAGAAAUCAGUUUUUCUGUGGGAAGGGAAAAAUACACAUCAAGGACAAGGCAGCUGUGGGUUUAGUUCCUCGGCGAAUGGUGAUUCUGCCCAUUGGUUGAUAUUGAGUAAGAAAGUAAGAGGAUCUCAGAGAACCCAGGCAGAUGACCUUUAAAAAUUGCUACAGCUUUCAGGGGAGCAAGGGUAACAAAAGCAAAGAAAUGUGCCUAGGCUUGCAAAAAGGAAGGAAGGAAAGAAAAGCCCAUGGAAUUUCCUCAUUUUCUUUAUUAAAAGAUGCUUAUCACCCUGAUUAGCUUUGAGCUUAGCAACAGUUCCCUGAGGUCUAUUCUCCAAAGGUAAAAAUGAAAGAAAAUGCAGUGGACAAUUAUCCAGGUAUUUCAGACAAAGCCUUUCCUUAAUCUUUCAGCAUGGAAAAUCAUGGCAUGUGGAUGGAGUUACCCAGAUGAGAGCAUCCUUCUGGGCAAGAAUUGUGGUGUUUGUCUAUUAUCACAGUGCCUACUGAGGAAGAAGAGCAGACGCACACCAGUACUGAUUGAAUUAAAUCUCCAAGCUCUUCUUCCAACUUCUUGAAAGCAAAACAGUCUUCUGUUAGCAAAAACCUGCAAGACUUUAUAAUUUUAGGACAUAAUUAAGUGAAUAGAGAAAAAAAGACAUCCGGAAGAUAAAAGCAUCACAACUACUUGAGGACUUUGUAACACUUGGAGUUUUGUUACUCUCUGUGGUUGUUGUUUGCAACUGGAGGAGAAAUUCUUAAUAGCUUCCAUGUAGAAAGAUUUAGGGAAUGGAAUUCUGAAGUCUUCAAUCAAGAGCAUGAUGGCUUAUAAACAGUUUGAUUUUAUGACCUUUACUCAAACAGAUUUUGUUUUUAAAGCAUUUUGGCAAAGCAUGUUCCACAAUAAGAAGGCAGAAAGAACAUUUAGAUAAGUGGAUAUUGGGGGCUUGGUUUCCAUUAAGAGGAAAUUCAGCACUUUUCCAAAUAAAAAGGGAUCCUGGACAUGAUGCAAGAAGGACAUUGUGAGAAAAGAUCCAGAUUUAGCAGUGAGGAUACAAACAUGAAAGCAAUUUCUUGCUGGAAAGACAUUUUAAAAUUCUGGGAUCUGCAGGCCAGAGCCUGCCAUUAGAAUUGGCAAAGAAAGAAGAAAAUAUUGAUUUUCAUUUUGGCUUUUGCCACAGUACUAUUGCUUUGUGAUGCUUGCCCAAAGUCUCUAAAUGAGAUACUUGGUGUGUUUUUUGAAGUUUCUGCAUGCUGAUGCUAGCACGGAAGACACAAUACACUCUUUUUCCUUUCUGUCUAAUGGAAACAGCUUUAGACACGAAGCUGUUAUGAACAUAUGUUGAAAAUAAAGUUUAUUUUCCAACAUAGGUGGUGACCCGAUAUUUAGGAAAAUCAAAGAGACAUAUAAAGACAAAGUAUGAGGUGCAAAAAAACAAGUAAGAGUGACAUUUUUUCUUUUCUUUUGUUCUUUUUGGAAUUCUAAGAAUUCUCUCGAGCAAAAUUUACACUUUUAAUAACAUGAGCUUUUUAUGUUAAGGAGGCCCUAUUUCAGGAGUGAAUAUAACAAGACACAGGAACUGUCUCCUAAAAAUGUCUCAUUUUAAUGCAGGCUUAGCUUUUAGUAAUCCAGUAAUCUCUU
ensembl:lncRNA